rnacentral:rRNA from 1 species
AGUAGCAAUACUGAGUGGCAAACGGGUGAGUAUAAUGUGGGAAUCUGCCUUUUGGUUUGGAAUAACACGGGGAAACUUGUGCUAAUACCGAAUAAGCCUUUACAGGGAAAGUUUUAACGCCGAAAGAUGAGCCUGCACUUGAUUAGCUAGUUGGUAAGGUAAAAGCUUACCAAGGCAACGAUCAAUAGCUGUUCUUAGAGGAAGACCAGCCACAUUGGGACUGAGACACGGCCCAGACUCCUACGGGAGGCAGCAGUGGGGAAUCUUGCACAAUGGGGGAAACCCUGAUGCAGCGAUGCCGCGUGAGUGAAGAAGGCCCUUGGGUUGUAAAACUCUUUCGUCGGGGAAGAAAAUGACUGUACCCGAAUAAGAAGGUCCGGCUAACUUCGUGCCAGCAGCCGCGGUAAUACGAAGGGACCUAGCGUAGUUCGGAAUUACUGGGCUUAAAGAGCUCGUAGGUGGUUAAAAAAGUUGAUGGUGAAAUCCCAAGGCUCAACCUUGGAACUGCCAUCAAAACUUUUUAGCUAGAGUGUGAUAGAGGUAAGUGGAAUUUCUAGUGUAGAGGUGAAAUUCGUAGAUAUUAGAAAGAACACCAAAUGCGAAGGCAACUUACUGGGUCACUACUGACACUGAGGAGCGAAAGCAUGGGUAGCGAAGAGGAUUAGAUACCCUCGUAGUCCAUGCCGUAAA